rnacentral:rRNA from 1 species
GACGAACGCUGGCGGCGUGCUUAACACAUGCAAGUCGAACGGAAAGGCCCUGCUUUUGUGGGGUGCUCGAGUGGCGAACGGGUGAGUAACACGUGAGUAACCUGCCCUUUACUUUGGGAUAACUUCAGGAAACUGGGGCUAAUACCGGAUAGGAUCUCCUGCUGCAUGGUGGGGGUUGGAAAGUUUCGGCGGUUGGGGAUGGACUCGCGGCUUAUCAGCUUGUUGGUGGGGUAGUGGCUUACCAAGGCUUUGACGGGUAGCCGGCCUGUGAGGGUGACCGGCGACAAUGGGACUGAGAUACGGCCCAGACUCCUACGGGAGGCAGCAGUGGGGAAUAUUGCACAAUGGGAGGAAGCCUGAUGAAGAAACGCAGCGAGCGGGAUGACGGCCUUCGGGUUGUAAACAGAUUUAGCAUGUGACGAAGAGUGAGUGACGGUAAUGGGUAAAGAAGCACCGGCUAACUACGUG